rnacentral:rRNA from 1 species
GCAGAGCAUCCUACGGGAGGCAGCAGUGGGGAAUAUUGCACAAUGGGCGCAAGCCUGAUGCAGCCAUGCCGCGUGUAUGAAGAAGGCCUUCGGGUUGUAAAGUACUUUCAGCAGUGAGGAAGGUGGGUAUGUUAAUAGCAUACUCAUUUGACGUUAGCUGCAGAAGAAGCACCGGCUAACUCCGUGCCAGCAGCCGCGGUAAUACGGAGGGUGCGAGCGUUAAUCGGAAUUACUGGGCGUAAAGCGCAUGCAGGUGGUUUGUUAAGUCAGAUGUGAAAGCCCGGGGCUCAACCUCGGAAUUGCAUUUGAAACUGGCAAACUAGAGUACUGUAGAGGGGGUAGAAUUUCAGGUGUAGCGGUGAAAUGCGUAGAGAUCUGAAGGAAUACCGGUGGCGAAGGCGGCCCCCUGGACAGAUACUGACACUCAGAUGCGAAAGCGUGGGGAGCAAACAGGAUUAGAUACCCUGGAG